CGUUUAAUUACCCUUUUUGUUUUGUACGAUUGAGAUUUCUGAUAUGAUUUAUUUAAUUCAUGAUCAUUUUGUAUUUUAUCUAGGGUUUGGUCAACUUGGCCACCAGUGGGGAUAGGGGCACCAACCCCUGCACAGAGGUUUCGGAGAGAGCUGCCCGGACCAUGAUUUGAUGAGUGAGCUGCACUGUGCGCCCGACCGGAAAAGUUCCUUGUGAAAGUGACAUUACGGGGAAGGGAUCGUCGCAGAGUUCUGUUGAAGCUUUCGACCUUUUGUGAAUUGCUAUUUUUGAUUGUCCUGUCCAGUACAGCUGGAGACAACCUCUUUGAGAUGCAGGCAUGGAGCCUUGCUUCGUUCUCGGCGGAAGAUGCAGACCGUCCUUGUAGAGGGAAUCUGCAGCUCGACCGGCAGAGCUGUCCGGGUCAGUGGUUACCUCCCUUACCUCGAGGCCAUCUUUGCAGAGGAGUUCCGCCAUCCCCUCCCUAGCCCAAGUGAACUCAUCCCCAAUAGUAUGGUGCAUUGGUAGAUUUGCCCCACAAACCCUGGGACUGCAGUGGUGGUUAGCAGUGCCCUCAUCCAAGACUUGCGAGUAGGAGGGGGAGUGUUGGUAGAGAGAAGGAUUUUCCUCAUCCCAUCAUUGCCUAUAGGGGUUUGACUAAGGCCAACUUGAAGCCCAUAGUUUACAGUGGCAGCUUUCCUACCCGGGGAUUUGGUCUCUACCUCCUCGUACAAAUUGUACCGCCUCGAUACAUAUAGACACUUGGUACAUCGAAGGCCCAUUCUGCUUCCCAGGCCGCGCCUCUCUUCGGAGGCCAGAUCCCACUCCAGCGGUCCAUCGCACCCCGGUAUCGCUUGCUGGUGGAGAGAGAUCACCUCAUUCCACAUUUCUGCUGUUUUCCUAAGAUGUAGCAAUCGAUGGGAAUUUUGAUUGGCCAAUCUAGACACUGUGGAGAGCUUUCAUCUCUCGGUCUCCUCGGCCUAAGGAGAUGGUGGCACAUGGGCCGCAGGAGCAUUUCAUGUCCUUCUGCAGCUGUCGGAGUCUCCGAAACCAUUUGAUGCAUCUGCGGGGACAGUCUGUUAUACGGUGCAGUCCUCAAUAUAUCCAAAUGUGAUCACAAGUCUGAAAGUCAUUCACUCUGUCUAACACCAUUGGCCGCAGUACGGU